rnacentral:lncRNA from 1 species
CAGCCGUCUUCUUCCCAUCACUUGGGAAGAGCCUGGAGGGUGAGGGCUGCACUGCUUCCCUCCAGAGAGUUUCCGGCUUCAUCUUUGUGGCCCGCUUCACUCAGGGAGAGCCAGACUGGACCACACUGGGAGGGAGAGCUGGGGAAAGGAUGCUGGAGUUGCGGGUGGUGUCUCCUGCUUUGCCGGCCCCUCCCUUCCUGACAGGGAGCUGGCAGAGCCUCGGAAAGGUGACUCUGCCUGGAAAUGAUGCAGCAAGAGAAUGCGCGCGAUGACCUCAGGUGUUCCCAGGCAUGGCGUGCAGACUCGCUGCAGCUGUCGCACGAAGGAGCAUGCAGGGGCACCUGCUUCCAGGUCUAUCUCUGCCACCUUCAAGCCACGUUGUCCCCGGUGACUUACCUGUUAAAACACUUAUCGCCAAGUGAUGGGCAAACCGAUUGCAUUCAUGUUUUCUUCUGUUAAUCACUAGAUCAGUUGUUUCCAGAUUUCAGGAUUUUCCAGACCAGCAAAAUUGUCCACUUUGUCUGACUGGCCUUCUUGGUGAGCCCCUAAAAUAGACAAUAAUCAUUUGUAAUUAGUAUAUUAACUUUUUGUAGAUAAACGGGUGCUCCUGGGUUGUUUUAAAAGCCUUUAAUAGUGGCUUCCUUUAACUCUUAAAGAAGCUAAGUAUCCCCCCAGAUAGUUGAUUCUAUCCUUGUGCCCAGCAAGGCUUUUUUAAAAAAACACUUAGCGCCCAGGAAAAUUUUAGGCCAGAAUGAAGGCAAAACAUUAAUGACACAGAAUGUGCCUUGCGAGGGGACAAGAGCUGCUUUCCUGGGCCCCACAUUGGGCGGCUGAGCCGUGGCCCUCCCUCCAGCUUGCAGGGCCCGGCUGCCAGCCGGGAACACGCUCUUCCCUUGCUGAGCCAUCCCACAGAUCAAGCCUGUGUCAUUCUGAAGUCAGCACUGGGAAUGGCCAAAUCAAUGGGAUUGCAAAGGCGGAUCCAGAGGGCUCUGAGAAGCUAGGAGCUGGCUCCCUUUGUUCGGCCCAGGGGUCCGUCCCCAGCAGGCAAGGCCCCACAGCAGCCACCUCCACUUGGGGCCUCUGAUGUGGGCCACAGCAAAGUCCCAACAAGCGAUGGCAGUAUCUGUCUUCAGUGCCUUCAUCUCUCUCUCCUCGGUGUACCCUUCUGCCAGGCUCCCACAGCUGCCCGAGGAAGCCCUAUGAACUCAGUUUCUAUCUGG